GUGUUCGCUUCAAUGGCACAUAUACCAAAAUUGGAAUGAGAUAGAGAAGGUUAGCGUGACUCUUGUUCAAGGAUGACAUACAAAUUGGUGAAGUUUCAUAUUUUUUU